AACGAACGCUGGCGGCAGGCUUAACACAUGCAAGUCGAGCGCCCCGCAAGGGGAGCGGCAGACGGGUGAGUAACGCGUGGGAAUCUACCCAUCUCUACGGAAUAACGCAUGGAAACGUGUGCUAAUACCGUAUACGUCCUUCGGGCGAAAGAUUUAUCGGAGAUGGAUGAGCCCGCGUUGGAUUAGCUAGUUGGUGGGGUAAGGGCCUACCAAGGCGACGAUCCAUAGCUGGUCUGAGAGGAUGGUCAGCCACACUGGGACUGAGACACGGCCCAGACUCCUACGGGAGGCAGCAGUGGGGAAUAUUGGACAAUGGGCGCAAGCCUGAUCCAGCCAUGCCGCGUGAGUGAUGAAGGCCCUAGGGUUGUAAAGCUCUUUCACCGGUGAAGAUAAUGACGGUAACCGGAGAAGAAGCCCCGGCUAACUUCGUGCCAGCCGCCGCGGUAAAAC
rnacentral:rRNA from 1 species